rnacentral:lncRNA from 1 species
AGAAGAGCUCUCCCUACAAUUUAGCAUCGCCUUUAAAUACUCCAGUGGUUGACUUCGCUUUAAGAUGGCCAACUUUUUUGCAGAUAGAGCACCAAUGCUACCUGAUGAAGCGCCAACCGUCAGAUUGUCAAUUGUCGCAAGGGUUUGAAUUCGAGCAGGUUCUGCACCCACAUUGGUUCUUCCUUCUGUUUUUCCCUCGAUGUUGGGGUUAGUCGCCAGAUUUCCC